CCGCUCCCCUCGUCGGAACAGGAGCGCCGCCCACCGGCUCCCCGCGCAUCCUCGGGCGCCUCAGCCGCCCUGCUUCCGCCCGUCCCCCACAUGCUCACCUCUUUCUCUUUGACGUCUGGGCACCACCACCUCCACCCAACACUUUAUCCCAGUGCGACUCUCGCCUGGUGACCAGCCCAGCUCCGUUUCUUCCGUUGCUGCGUCUGUCGCGCAGCGGCAAGCUGCACCCCUUCCACGGCAACAGAUCAUGGCUGUUGCUUUUCUCAUCUCCAGGCUGCCAAGGCAUGUGCAAGCUGCAACAAUUUUACUACACAGAGCAUGUGCUUUGGUGUUUCUGUAUCCAUAUUGCAUAUUGGGGCAACAUAUUCAAUCUGACAAGUAUAAUCGACAAGUUGAUUAACAAGACUGAAACCAGUUGUUAUUCUAUUUCAAUUGCUGGUAAAUGUGAAGGAAAAAAAUCUUCAGAGAUUGAUCCAUCCAGACCGAGAUCCCCAGGUCAAAUUUCAACCAGAAGUAUGGUAAAUGUUUUGUUCAAUCAGUUAGCUUUGUACUCGCCCUUUUCAAUAUAAUAAGUAGGAGGUACCGAACUACAUAGAACAAUUGCUCCCACAAGAAUUAUAUUAUUUUCUUGGUUUAGUAUAAGUAUAAUUAUUUACCUUUUCGGCGCCACUGGGAAUUUUAAUUAGACAUGGCACAAUGAGUUCUCUCACUUACCCAGGUUACUUAUAGUUCCUUAGUGCUCAUAUAAUGUGCUUUUCUGGACAACUGCUAGCACCACUAUUUGAAGUCUCUAUGGAUCAAUUUUUAGUUUGAAAUACUUCUAAGAACUGAGAUCAUUAGAUAGAAAUCAGUGUAUGUACUUGCUACCAUAAUUAUGUGGUAGUGAACCAUUCAAUCAUGCAUGUAUGGUGGCAACUAGCAACUACUAAACAUUUGCAAAAUAUUUAAUGUUAAAUACUCAGUAUACCAUUAUGAUUAUGUCAUGCAAUCGUCCAAUGUCUAACUCGCAUUUUAGCAAAAUGUUUAUGCCCAAGCUCACAAUUUAGCAGUAGUUCCUACACCUAGGUUAUUAUGCCUACCUUUGUUCUACCAUCUCAGUCUACUGAAUCCUCAUGAGUACCAAGAAUAAUAAUGAUGACAGGAAGGCCCAAAAGCUCUUCGGCAUGUGACAUACCCUGACCAAGAACUUCGAACAGUGGAAGAUGCAUGGGUUCACAAGGAUGAGACCCAAAUCAACUGACUUUAGGCCUCAUUUUAGUGACUACUAAAGAAACAACUCACAAUGGGAAUACCAAUUUUCAGCUACACCGUGAAAUACAAUGGCAUACCGUAGAGGUAUACCUUAUGAUGCCUGGCUUUCUCUGUCAGGGAGGUAACAACAUGUCUUUUAGUUUAUGAUAUACAGCAUAUAGAAAUAUAUUUACACUUAAUGUCCAUGCUAAAGCAAGCACCUAUGAAAAUUGAACUGUGUUGAUUUGAUAUUGUUAGCUUCUUGUUGUUGUCACUACCGUGUCAAGGCUAUGUCUAUAAAUGAUGGAGGCCAGGUGGUAAGUUAGUUGUCAAUACUACCGGAGCAAUUAUAUUUCUCCAAUCAUUUUUUGGGGAUACCCAGCAUUACAACUAUAUAUUUAUGUUUGCUCCACCAUGUUUGAUCCGUGUGAACUGGAGAAUUUAUCUGUUUAACAAUUUUACUGGUAUUCCAGGAGUUUUUAAGAGUCUAUUUGCACAUUCUGAUGCAAGACUCCCAUCCCUUUUGCAACACUAAUGCAUGUGAUUGUUGGAAGGGAAAUUGAGGUUUUAAAGAACCCUUAGUCUUAGCUAUAUAUGCAGAAAUUUUUCUGUCAGUUGGUUGUAAAGAACAAAAGGCACCCUGUUAGGGAUGCCGGGGUUGGCGACAUCGGCACCACGUGUAUGCUGUUUGAUGCAAUGCCGAGGCGAGAUGACGUGCCUUGGACUGCUAUGAUUAGGCACGCGUACACUGCAGAGUUUCUGAAACUUUGUUUUUAUGUGUGCUAUGCUUCAUUGUUCACUGAUGGUAUUGCUUUCGUUGAUACAGAAAAAGGAAUACCGAAUAGAUCAUUUGUUGUGUGUCGGCUUUCUGAGGCUUCGAACUCAUUCACUUAAAUGGCUGUUGGUUCAAGUGAGCUGCAGCUGAACAUUCUGUUUUUAUACGACAAGCAAUUGCUCGCCUGAACUUUCAUUGAACGGAUGUAGAACGCAGGUAAAGCGUUCAGUGCAUUGUGAGGUUAGGGUGGAGAGUAGAGUAUACACAGCUAGCUAUAUGCUACAUCCCGUAGUCCUGCACUACAAGAAUGAGAAAAAGUUCUAGCUACUGGCUUGCGGAUGCGAUCUGCCCAUAUGUCGAUGGAGUGUAACACCUGCGCUGGUGACCUGUGAGCGGCAUUAAAGACCAUGUCAUUUAUGUCCUUCCAAAUGUUCUAUAAGAAGUUAAGAAGGCGACGAUCAGGGUUCUGAGCUGAGGAGCAUGUAGAUUAGCAUCGAAGAAACUGACAUCCCAGAUGUCGCCGAGCUGUCCGAGCUGUUGAACCUGCACGUACCCAGUUGCUGACCAAAUGCCCCUCGCAUGACGUAAUCCUUAAAGAGGUGCUCGUGAUCCUCGUAGCCUUCGCAAAACAUUCUUUUACCCCUUGGCUGGAAAUGUGUAGCUGAUGGUAACGUAGAAGGCAUUCAUUAAGCUGUAUGGAGAGAGGUCGAGUGAACUGCCUUUUGGGUGUGUUGAUCCUGCGGUGAGAAAUGCAUUGCCUGUCCAGUGGCUUUGGCAGCUGUUGUUAGUGGAGACAAAGCUUUGGUCAUUGUCAUAAAAUUGGCACUAUAUUUUAGAUUAACGAAUGUAAUUUGGUUCUUACACCAAUGAUGUUAUGUACAUGCAUUUGUUUGCUGAUUUGUCAAAAAGAAACAGCCAUACAUUCAGAUGAUUAGACGGAU